UAUCCAGACUCCUACGGGAGGCAGCAGUGGGGGAUAUUGCACAAUGGGGGGAACCCUGAUGCAGCGACGCCGCGUGGGUGAAGGAGUGCUUCGGCAUGUAAAGCCCUAUCGGCAGGGAAGAAGCAAGACGGUACCUGACUAAGAAGCCCCGGCUAACUACGUGCCAGCAGCCGCGGUAAUACGUAGGGGGCGAGCGUUAUCCGGAUUCACUGGGUGGAAAGGGAGCGUAGACGGCCAUGCAAGCCAGGGGUGAAAGCCCGGGGCCCCACCCCGGGACUGCCCUUGGAACUGCAUGGCUGGAGUGCGGGAGGGGGAGGCGGAAUUCCUGGUGUAGCGGUGAAAUGCGUAGAUAUCAGGAGGAACACCGGCGACGAAGGCGGCCUGCUGGACCGCGACUGACGUUGAGGCUCGAAAGCGUGGGGAGCAAACAGGAUUAGAUACCCCAGUAA
rnacentral:rRNA from 1 species